GUGCUUUUUGACCUGUUUUUGCCAAGGUUGGCGCGCCACCCGCCAGCGGCCCCUCUGCUCAAGGAAGUGGCAAGUGCAUGCCCUGCAGGAGGUCAGUCCGCCGCACUCUGCUGAACAGCAGGCGCGCAAGUUGCAACGAAAGCAGAACUUACCUCGGUUAAAGUCCUUUUAAAAGAUGCUCCUUGACAUUUCCUGAUUCUACGGUACCUUUAAAAAAAUACUCCUUGAUAUCUCCCUUCUCCCCCUCGCGACAGCUUUCAAAAUUUACCCUGAUUUGGUUUUUCCUCCUGAAUUUGCAAAAAUCAUCGUUUGUAUUACUGUUAUUUCCUGCACGUCUAAAA